CCAACUUUAGGGUGCCACACUGACUACUCAGCACUGUGCCCCAGUGACCACCCAUCACUGUGCCACACUGACCAUCAGCACUGUGCCACACUGACCCUUUGCCAGGACCAGAGUGCCACACCAACCACCCAUCACUGUGCCACAUUGACCACCCUUCACUGUGCCACACUGACCACCCAUCACUGUGCCACACUGACCACUCAGCAUUGUGCCACACUGACCACUCAUCACUGUGCCACAAUGACCAC
rnacentral:lncRNA from 1 species